UACGGAGGGGGCUAGCGUUGUUCGGAAUUACUGGGCGUAAAGCGCACGUAGGCGGACCAGUUAGUUGGGGGUGAAAUCCCGGGGCUCAACCCCGGAACUGCCUCCAAAACUGCUGGUCUGGAGGUCGAGAGAGGUGAGUGGAAUUCCGAGUGUAGAGGUGAAAUUCGUAGAUAUUCGGAGGAACACCAGUGGCGAAGGCGGCUCACUGGCUCGAUACUGACGCUGAGGUGCGAAAGCGUGGGGAGCGAACAGA
rnacentral:rRNA from 1 species